rnacentral:rRNA from 1 species
AUACGGAGGGAGCAAGCGUUAUUCGGAAUCACUGGGCGUAAAGGACGCGUAGGCGGGUUUGUAAGUCAGGUGUGAAAUCCUACAGCUCAACUGUAGAACUGCACUUGAAACUACAGACCUAGAGUAUGGAAGGGGCAGAUGGAAUUAGUGGUGUAGGGGUAAAAUCCGUAGAUAUCACUAGGAAUACCGAAAGCGAAGGCGAUCUGCUGGGACAUUACUGACGCUGAGGCGUGAAAGCGUGGGGAGCAAACAGGAUUAGAAACCCCGGUAGUCC